rnacentral:rRNA from 1 species
GACGAACGCUGGCGGCGUGCUCAACACAUGCAAGUCGAACGGUAAGGCCCUUCGGGGUACACGAGUGGCGAACGGGUGAGUAACACGUGGGUGAUCUGCCCUGCACUUCGGGAUAAGCCUGGGAAACUGGGUCUAAUACCGGAUAGGACCACUGCCUGCAUGGGUGGUGGUGGAAAGCUUUUGCGGUGUGGGAUGGGCCCGCGGCCUAUCAGCUUGGUGGUGGGGUGAUGGCCUACCAAGGCGACGACGGGUAGCCGGCCUGAGAGGGUGACCGGCCACACUGGGACUGAGAUACGGCCCAGACACGUACGGGAGGCAGCAGUGGGGAAGAUUGCACACUGGGCGCAAGCCUGAUGCAGCGAGGCCGCGUGAGGGAUGACGGCCUUCGGGUUGUAAACCUCUUUCAGCACCGACGAAGCGCAAGUGACGGUAGGUGCAGAAGAAGGCCCGGCCAACUACGUGCCAGCCGCCGCCGUAA